AUUGAACGCUGGCGGCAUGCCUUACACAUGCAAGUCGAACGGCAGCACGGGAGCAAUCCUGGUGGCGAGUGGCGAACGGGUGAGUAAAGCAUCGGAACGUGCCCAGUCGUGGGGGAUAACGUAGCGAAAGCUACGCUAAUACCGCAUACGAUCUGUGGAUGAAAGCGGGGGACCGUAAGGCCUCGCGCGAUUGGAGCGGCCGAUGUCAGAUUAGGUAGUUGGUGAGGUAAAGGCUCACCAAGCCGACGAUCUGUAGCUGGUCUGAGAGGACGACCAGCCACACUGGGACUGAGACACGGCCCAGACUCCUACGGGAGGCAGCAGUGGGGAAUUUUGGACAAUGGGCGCAAGCCUGAUCCAGCAAUGCCGCGUGCAGGAUGAAGGCCUUCGGGUUGUAAACUGCUUUUGUACGGAGCGAAAAGGCUUCCACUAAUACUGGGGGCUCAUGACGGUACCGUAAGAAUAAGCACCGGCUAACUACGUGCCAGCAGCCGCAGUAAAAC
rnacentral:rRNA from 1 species